rnacentral:misc_RNA from 1 species
GAUGAAGAACGCAGCGAAAUGCGAUACGUAAUGUGAAUUGCAGAAUUCAGUGAAUCAUCGAGUCUUUGAACGCACAUUGCGCCCUUUGGUAUUCCAAAGGGCAUGCCUGUUCGAGCGUCAUUUGUACCCUCAAGCUUUGCUUGGUGUUGGGCGUCUUGUCUCCAGUCCGCUGGAGACUCGCCUUAAAGUCAUUGGCAGCCGGCCUACUGGUUUCGGAGCGCAGCACAAGUCGCACUCUUUUCCAGCCAAGGUCAGCGUCCAACAAGCCUUUUUUCAACUUUUGACCUCGGAUCAGGUAGGGAUACCCGCUGAACUUAAGCAUAUCAAUAAGCGGAGGA